CCCGAUGAACCUGAAUAUCCGUUAUGGAAAAUUCAUCAUUAAUAUUAUUAUAUUUAAAAAUAUAAUAAAAAUAGUGUGCAAUUUUUCCAUAUAAGGACAUUGUAAUCUGUUAAUGUUUUAAAUAUUUAUCAAAAAGUCUAUAACAUAAGUUUAUUCAAAUUAGUUAUUUUCGAAUUUCUAACAUAGAAUAAUUGUAUUAGAUUCGAUAAAUCAUUGACAGAUUUUACUAUAUAUAAUGCUUAAAUUCAUUUUUGAAUUUUAUAAUUAUAGUAAAAAUUUAUUUUUAUUUAUAAUUAUAUGCAUUUAUAUGAUUAACAAUGCGAUAGAUUCAGGAUACCUUCGGGACCCGUCUUGAAACACGGACCAAGGAGUCUAACAUAUGUGCAAGUCAUUGGGUAUUUUUAAUAAAACCCAAUGGCAUAAUUAACUUAACUGUUUUUUAAUGGGAUUAGUUUAUAUUUUAUUAUGAAAUAAAAAUUCAAUCCCGGGGCGUUCUAUACAGUUAUGCAUAAUGAUAUUUAUAUUAUUUAUGCCUCUAACUAGAGCGUACCUUGAGCAUAUAUGCUGUGACCC
rnacentral:rRNA from 2 species